GAUGAACGCUAGCGGCAGGCCUAACACAUGCAAGUCGAGGGGUAGAGGAAGCUUGCUUCCUUGAGACCGGCGCACGGGUGCGUAACGCGUAUGCAAUCUACCUUUUACAGAGGGAUAGCCCAGAGAAAUUUGGAUUAAUACCUCAUAGUAUCUUUGCCUGGCAUCGGGUGAUUAUUAAGGUUCCAACGGUAAAAGAUGAGCAUGCGUCCUAUUAGCUAGAUGGUAAGGUAACGGCUUACCAUGGCAACGAUAGGUAGGGGUCCUGAGAGGGAGAUCCCCCACACUGGUACUGAGACACGGACCAGACUCCUACGGGAGGCAGCAGUGAGGAAUAUUGGACAAUGGGCGCAAGCCUGAUCCAGCCAUGCCGCGUGCAGGAAGACGGUCCUAUGGAUUGUAAACUGCUUUUGUACGGGAAGAAACACUCCUACGUGUAGGAGCUUGACGGUACCGUAAGAAUAAGGAUCGGCUAANUCNGUGCCAGCCGCCGCGGUAAAAC
rnacentral:rRNA from 1 species